rnacentral:rRNA from 1 species
UUAGCCGGUACUCGCGAAUCAUCUGAUUUUAAGAGUUUGAUCAUGGCUCACAUUGAACUNCUGGCGGCAGGCUUAACACAUGCAAGUCGAGCGGGGAAGGGUAGCUUGCUACCUAACCUAGCAGGCGGACGGGUGAGAUAAUGCCUAGGAAUCUAGCCUGGUAGUAGGGGGACACACGUUUCGAAAGGAACGCCUAAAUACCGCAUUACGUCCUACAGAGGAAUGAAAGCAGGGUCGACCAUUCGAGGCCUUGCAAGCAUACUCACGAUGAAGCACUAGGUCAGGAUUACGCUAAGUUAGGUAGGGGUAAUAGGACUCACCAAAGGU